GGAGGGGACCGUGGGGACCGGCUUGAUCGUGCGCGGACACCUGCUACCAAGCGGAGCUUCAGCAAGGAAGUGGAGGAGCGGAGUAGAGAACGGCCCUCCCAGCCUGAGGGGCUGCGCAAGGCAGCUAGCCUCACGGAGGAUCGGGACCGUGGGCGGGAUGCCGUGAAGCGAGAAGCUGCCCUACCCCCAGUGAGCCCCCCGAAGGCGGCUCUCUCUGAGGAGGAGUUAGAGAAGAAAUCCAAGGCUAUCAUUGAGGAAUAUCUCCAUCUCAAUGACAUGAAAGUAGGCAGUGGGAGCGGCGUGUGAUUGAGGAGUGGGCAGGGAGGGAUCAUGCUGGCAGGCAUAGGGGUCCGGGGUCUGGGUCAGACAGUGACUGGUCUCUUCCUGCUGUGCCCUGCACCCCUCAGGAGGCAGUCCAGUGCGUGCAGGAGCUGGCCUCACCCUCCUUGCUCUUCAUCUUUGUACGGCAUGGUGUCGAGUCUACGCUGGAGCG
rnacentral:sRNA from 1 species